AUUGAACGCUGGCGGCAGGCUUAACACAUGCAAGUCGAGCGGAGAUGAGGUGCUUGCAUCUUAUCUUAGCGGCGGACGGGUGAGUAAUGCUUAGGAAUCUGCCUAUUAGUGGGGGACAACAUCUCGAAAGGGAUGCUAAUACCGCAUACGUCCUACGGGAGAAAGCAGGGGACCUUCGGGCCUUGCGCUAAUAGAUGAGCCUAAGUCGGAUUAGCUAGUUGGUGGGGUAAAGGCCUACCAAGGCGACGAUCUGUAGCGGGUCUGAGAGGAUGAUCCGCCACACUGGGACUGAGACACGGCCCAGACUCCUACGGGAGGCAGCAGUGGGGAAUAUUGGACAAUGGGGGGAACCCUGAUCCAGCCAUGCCGCGUGUGUGAAGAAGGCCUUUUGGUUGUAAAGCACUUUAAGCGAGGAGGAGGCUACCGAGAUUAAUACUCUUGGAUAGUGGACGUUACUCGCAGAAUAAGCACCGGCUAACUCUGUGCCAGCCGCCGCAGUAACAC
rnacentral:rRNA from 1 species